AAACUUACUCUACUGCUGAAAUGCAGACGCCCCGGGGUGAAACUGGCAGCUGUUACGCUGCAGCACUGUAUGCAACACUUGAAGCAGAAGGUGAAGACUAUUGCAGCCAACUGAAUUUGCAGGACGUGAGAUCUCAAAUCCCACCUCUGAGUUCAUCCUUUAUUAUAGACCUUAGGUCCACGCCACUGAGCACCUUGAAGAGAAGGACCAAGACCUAGAACUUGAUUCGACUGAGUGGGGUUCUGCCUGUGCAGUUUUCAUUGCAAGAUCAGGGCUCUUGUUG